rnacentral:tRNA from 1 species
UUAAAGUUACUUUGGCAGAUUAGUGCAUUAAAUUUAGAAUUUAAAUAUGUAUAUUAUACAGGUAAUAU